GGCUGGUUCCGAACAUAGUGAGUUCUCUCAGCUGAUUGUUUACGGUCAAUUGCAAAUGGAAAUGCUUGUUCUAUUUCUUUCCCUCUUCUUACUACUGCACUUGACUAGCCUAAA
rnacentral:Y_RNA from 2 species